rnacentral:rRNA from 1 species
CCUACGAGUGGCAGCAGUGAGGAAUAUUGGUCAAUGGACGAGAGUCUGAACCAGCCAAGUAGCGUGAAGGAUGACUGCCCUAUGGGUUGUAAACUUCUUUUAUAUGGGAAUAAAAUGUUCCACGUGUGGGAUUUUGUAUGUACCAUAUGAAUAAGGAUCGGCUAACUCCGUGCCAGCAGCCGCGGUAAUACGGAGGAUCCGAGCGUUAUCCGGAUUGAUUGGGUGUAAAGGGAUCGUAGGUGGAUUGUUAAGUCAGUUGUGAAAGUUUGCGGCUCAACCGUAAAAUUGCAGUUGAAACUGGCAGUCUUGAGUACAGUAGAGGUGGGCGGAAGUCGUGGUGUAGCGGUGAAAUGCUUAGAUAUCACGAAGAACUCCGAUUGCGAAGGCAGCUCACUGGACUGCAACUGACACUGAGGCUCGAAAGUGUGGGUAUCAAACAGGAUUAGAUACCCGAGUAGUC